AAUAAAAGUUGCGCCCUCUUUCAUCUCCAGGUAAAAUGAGCAUCAGAAAUAACUAGAUCUAGUUACAAAGUUAACCAAAUUGAAAAUAACUAGUGAUCUUGACGGCUUUCUUGUUUCUUAUCAUGCUCAUGCGUGUUUAAUGCUUGACGUUCGAGCGUACGUCAGUGCACUUCUAUCUGAAUGUUUAGCGGUAUUUCACGAGCGUCAGCAAGUAAUUCACUGGUUGACUAAAUCUGUUUUGAGAACCCUCAAUAUGCUUCGGUUUUUGAUCAGUCUGAGUAUUGGAGUAUACGCCGGAAUAUACAUAGCCCAAAAUUAUGAGGUGCCACGAGUGGAUGAACCAUCGAAACUUUAUCAGCGAGUACUUCAGUUUCUAGAAGAGAAUAAAAAGAAGCCAUAGCAUACUGUAGCAAUGUAUAUUUCUAAAACCACUUCCAAUACUAGAAGACGGAUAUGCCAUUAUCGAUGUAAUAUGAUGUAAAUGUAACAUUAUAACUCUCAAGGAAACGUCGAUAUAUAUCUAUGUAUAUAUAUAUAUAUAUGUACUCAAUGCAAUGUACAAAGACAAGUCACUCUUAUUUUUCCAUACAUUUAUUUUAAUAAACAAUAUUUAAACGCA